CAUCUCAAAUCUCAGCUGAUACCUACUUGUACUCAUCACCUCCUCCUCCCAAGAAGCCCUAUUAUUAUCACUCUCCUCCACCACCUUCACCUCCUCCACCUAAGCCAUACUACUAUCAUUCACCACCACCACCUUCACCUCCUCCACCCAAGCCAUACUACUAUCACUCACCACCACCACCUUCACCUCCUCCACCUAAACCAUACUACUAUCACUCACCACCACCACCUUCACCUCCUCCACCUAAACCAUACUACUAUCACUCACCACCACCACCUUCACCUCCUCCACCUAAACCAUACUACUAUCACUCACCACCACCACCUUCACCUCCUCCACCUAAGUCAUAUUACUAUCACUCACCACCACCACCACCCAAAAAGAAGCCAUACUACUACCAUUCUCCCCCACCACCUUCACCACCUCCUCCUAAGCCAUACUACUAUCACUCUCCCCCACCGCCUUCACCUCCUCCACCUACGCCAUACUACUAUCAUUCUCCCCCACCACCCUCACCACCUCCACCUAAGCCAUACUACUACCAUUCACCACCACCCCCACCGAAGAAGAAGCCUUACUACUACCACUCUCCACCACCACCUUCACCUCCUCCUCCAAAGAAGCCAUACUACUACCACUCCCCACCUCCUCCCAAGAAGCCCUACAAAUAUUCAUCUCCCCCACCUCCAGUGCACCCUUACCCUCAUCCUCACCCCCAUCCCCAUCCACACCCCCACCCUCACCCUCCCUACGUUUACAAAUCUCCUCCCCCACCCCCUAAGAAGCCAUACAAGUACCCAUCCCCACCACCUCCAGUCCACGUUUACCCUCACCCUCACCCGCAUCCACACCCUCACCCUCAACCUCACCCCCAUCCACAACCCCACCCUCCCUACAUUUAUCAGUCUCCUCCACCACCCCCUAAGAAGCCUUACAAGUACCCAUCGCCUCCACCUCCCGUCCACCCAUACCCCCAUCCCCAC
rnacentral:lncRNA from 1 species